GUUUCUCCAUGUUGGUCAGGCUGGUCUUAAACUCCCGACCUCAGGUGAUCUGUCCGGCUCAGCUUCCCAAAGUGCUGGGAUUAUAGUCGUGAGCUACCACUCACGGCCGACCCUGUCUCUUAAAAAAAAAAAAAAAGGAAGGAAGACAAAGUCAGGUGGGGUCUUCGGGGAAGGCUGAUUGAAGAGCUGCUGCCCAAAGGGAGCAAGGAGGAACAGCGGGAUUACGUCUUCUACCUGGCCGUGGGGAACUACCGGCUCAAGGAAUACGAGAAGGCCUUAAAGUACAUCCGUGGGUUGCUGCAGACAGAGCCCCAGAACAACCAGGCCAAGGAACUGGAGCGGCUCAUUGACAAGGCCAUGAAGAAAGAUGGACUCGUGGGCAUGGCCAUCGUGGGAGGCAUGGCCCUGGGUGUGGCGGGACUGGCCGGACUCAUCGGACUUGCUGUGUCCAAGUCCAAAUCCUGAAGGAGGCGUGGGAGCCCAUGGAGAACGCUCCAGGAGGGCCUGUCCAUCCUCGCUGUCCCCUCCCUGUACUCCCCCUGCACCCCUGUCUCUGUCCUCUGUGGCCUUCAACUAACUUCUGCUCCCCUGAGACCCGUCCUUCAGCCCCAAAUCAUGUGCUUUGGGAUGAGUGUAAAUAAAACGGGGCUGUGGCUUGGGAACCCCCUUGUGUGUGUUGAGGGGAGGGGUGGGUUCUGAAUGCUGGGCACAGGGGGGUGGAGA
rnacentral:sRNA from 1 species